GACGAACGCUGGCGGCGUGCUUAACACAUGCAAGUCGAACGGAAAGGCCCUGCUUGCAGGGUACUCGAGUGGCGAACGGGUGAGUAACACGUGGGUGAUCUGCCCUGCACUUCGGGAUAAGCCUGGGAAACUGGGUCUAAUACCGGAUAUGACCUUCCAUGUAGUGUGGGGGGUGGAAAGAUUUAUCGGUGUGGGAUGAGCCCGCGGCCUAUCAGCUUGUUGGUGGGGUAAUGGCCUACCAAGGCGUCGACGGGUAGCCGGCCUGAGAGGGUGGACGGCCACAUUGGGACUGAGAUACGGCCCAGACUCCUACGGGAGGCAGCAGUGGGGAAUAUUGCACAAUGGGCGGAAGCCUGAUGCAGCGACGCCGCGUGGGGGAUGACGGCCUUCGGGUUGUAAACCUCUUUCGACAGGGACGAAGCUUCGGUGACGGUACCUGUAUAAGAAGCACCGGCUAACUACGCG
rnacentral:rRNA from 1 species